GGCGGGGUAGCUCAGCUGGUUAGAGCGCGGGACUCAUAAGCCCGAGGUCGUGGGUUCGAUCCCCACCCCCGCUA
rnacentral:tRNA from 1 species